rnacentral:rRNA from 1 species
UAACGCGUAAGUAAUCUGCCUAUCAGAGGGGAAUAACAGUGAGAAAUCAUUGCUAAUACCGCAUAUACUAAUUUUAUUGCACGAUAGAAUUGGGAAAGGAGCAAUCCGCUGACAGAUGGGCUUGCGUCUGAUUAGUUAGUUGGCAGGGUAAAGGCCUACCAAGACGAUGAUCAGUAGCCGGACUGAGAGGUUGAACGGCCACAUUGGGACUGAGAUACGGCCCAGACUCCUACGGGAGGCAGCAG